AGUCCCGCAACGAGCGCAACCCCUGUUCCUAGUUGCCAGCAUUCAGUUGGGCACUCUAGGGAGACUGCCGGUGACAAGCCGGAGGAAGGCGGGGAUGACGUCAAGUCCUCAUGGCCCUUACGGGUUGGGCUACACACGUGCUACAAUGGUAACUACAGAGGGCAGCGACUUAGCGAUAAGUAGCCAAUCCCAAAAAGUUAUCUCAGUUCGGAUUGCACUCUGCAACUCGAGUGCAUGAAGUUGGAAUCGCUAGUAAUCGUGGAUCAGCAUGCCACGGUGAAUACGUUCCCGGGCCUUGUACACACCGCCCGUCACACCAUGGGAGUUGGUUUUACCCGAAGACGGUGGGCUAACCUUUUAGGAGGCAGCCGGCCACGGUAAGGUCAGCGACUGGGGUGAAGUCG
rnacentral:rRNA from 1 species